UACAGAGGUGGCAAGCGUUGUUCGGAAUUACUGGGCGUAAAGGGCGCGUAGGCGGCCUUCUAAGUCAGACGUGAAAUCCCCCGGCUUAACCUGGGAACUGCGUCUGAUACUGGAGGGCUUGAGUGCGGGAGAGGGAUGUGGAAUUCCAGGUGUAGCGGUGAAAUGCGUAGAUAUCUGGAGGAACACCAGCGGCGAAGGCGGCAUCCUGGACUGGUCCUGACACUCAUGAGCGAAAGCGUGGGGAGCGAGCCGG
rnacentral:rRNA from 1 species